rnacentral:rRNA from 1 species
AUUGAACGCUGGCGGCAGGCCUAACACAUGCGAGUCGAACGGUAACAGGAAGAAGCUUGCUUCUUUGCUGACGAGUGGCGGACGGGUGAGUAAUGUCUGGGAAACUGCCUGAUGGAGGGGGAUAACUAUUGGAAACGGUAGCUAAUACCGCAUAACGUCGCAAGACCAAAGAGGGGGACCUUCGGGCCUCUUGCCAUCGGAUGUGCCCAGAUGGGAUUAGCUAGUAGGUGGGGUAACGGCUCACCUAGGCGACGAUCCCUAGCUGGUCUGAGAGGAUGACCAGCCACACUGGAACUGAGACACGGUCCAGACUCCUACGGGAGGCAGCAGUGGGGAAUAUUGCACAAUGGGCGCAAGCCUGAUGCAGCCAUGCCGCGUGUAUGAAGAAGGCCUUCGGGUUGUAAAGUACUUUCAGCGGGGAGGAAGGGAGUAAAGUUAAUACCUUUGCUCAUUGACGUUACCCGCAGAAGAAGCACCGGCUAACUCCGUG